GACGAACCGUCCAAACGUUAUUCGGAAUCACUGGGCUUACAGAGUUCGUAGGCGGUCCCAAAAGUUAGGUGUGAAAUCCCUCGGCUCAACCGAGGAACUGCGCUUAAAACUGUGGGACUCGAGGGAGAUAGAGGAAAGCGGAACUGAUGGUGGAGCGGUGAAAUGCGUUGAUAUCAUCAGGAACACCGGUGGCGAAGGCGGCUUUCUGGGUCUUACCUGACGCUGAGGAACAAAAGCCAGGGGAGCGAACGGG
rnacentral:rRNA from 1 species